UUCCUGCUCCUGCCCCACGGCGCGUGCGCGCACUUCACAGAAAGACGUGUACAGAGACAGAAAGGAGAGAGAAAGAGAGAGAGAGAGAGGUGGUGGUAAGGUCCUAGCUCCGUGAUUUUCCUCGCGCCUCCGUGGCCCGCAGGGCUUCAUACUGUACGGACGUGUUGCACGUUACGAGGAGGAGCAGCGCGCCCUUUGAUUGGCUCUUUGACGCUUUUGGACCAAUUGUGUGCCAGCGGAGGCGUGGUUUUAAUAGGUCGGGCGGAGGAGCAGAGACUUUCAGACUUAUAAAAAGCCAUCACGGAGACCAAAGCGGCGACGGAUCUCAAAGUCCUUGAGUUAGGUGGUGGGAUCUAACCACAAUGAGAUAAUGGAGCAGAUGGAGCAGCUUGAAGUUCACAUCAAAUAUUGACAAAUGCAGAUGAACAUGGGUACACAGCAAGAUCAGGUAAUUGCUUUCUUUUGUGAUCUCUGAGCCUUCAAAGA